AGACCUUUCCAAUCCUAGGAGACCUAGAUGUCUCCCAAUGAUAGAUAAGUCGCAUACGACCAGUGCAUUAAAGAUAAGGAUUAAGCUAUUGUUUUAUAUGAAACGAUGGCACCAACCACGUUGAUUUUCUUCUUCUGCUUAGGAUUUGCUUUCAGUCGAGAAAAUGUCGAAGAGGAUAUCACUGAUAUUAAGGAUGUUCUUCGGAAAGCUAUAUCAGAAAUUGAGGAACUGAAACAGGAAGUGCGAGAAAUCACUCCGCUCAGACGUAAAAUCCGUAGUUUGGAGGUGGAAAAUUCCUUGCUCAGGCAUAAAUAUGGAAAUUUGGCAGAAGAAGUCAUCAGGCUCUGCGUGAUGUUGUUGGGAGGGAGUACCGAAGAAAUAAUGACUCGGGUGUUCACGGCGAAGUAGAAACCAGCCCCAGCCGCCCACGUAUUCGAAUGCUUUCCCCAGACACAUCGAUUGCAACUUCCAACACGGUCGCCUUCUUUGUCUACAUAUCAUCCAACGAACCCAAUCCAAGCAUCCAUCACACAUUGAUAUUUGACGUCAUAAAACUUAAUUUGGGAAAUGGUUACAACCGAUACAGCGGAAUUUUCUCCGCCCCAGAGGACGGGCUCUACGCGUUUUCGUAUGGUAUAACCUGCGGUCUUCAUGGUUCUUUGUAUUUUCAGUUCAUGAAAAACGGUAAUAUUUUAAUUGUUAAGAGAUGUGACAAUGAUGCAGAUUCAGAUGAUUACAAAGAACUGUCCGGAACAAUAAUUGCAGACCUGACGUCAAACGACAUCGUCUACAUUUCCACUAAACAUGCUUGUACAACGUACAUAGUUAGUUACGAGGACUCUCGCUCUUUUUUAGUGGAUGGAAAAUAAAUUGAAAUGUUUU